rnacentral:rRNA from 1 species
CGCCUGCCCAGUGACAAAAAGUUAAACGGCCGCGGUAUUCUGACCGUGCUAAGGUAGCGCAAUCACUUGUCUUUUAAAUGAAGACCCGUAUGAAUGGCAUCACGAGGGCUCACCUGUCUCCUCUCUUCGGUCAAUGAAAUUGAUCUGCCCGUGCAGAAGCGGACAUAAACGCGUUAGACGAGAAGACCCUAUGGAGCUUAAGACAAAAGGCCAAUCGCGUUUAACGACUAAUAAACCGACCGGAUUAAAGAGUAUCUAAACUCUGUGAUAAGAUGGCCAGAAUGUCUUCGGUUGGGGCGACCUCGGAGGAAAAACAAGCCUCCGUGUGGACUGGGGUUUAUAAUUUACCCUAAAACUAAGAAGUACAAAUCUAAGUAGCAAAAAAUUUGACCAAUAAUGACCCGGAAUUAAUCCGAUCAACGAACCAAGUUACCCUAGGGAUAACAGCGCAAUCCCUUCCCAGAGUCCAUAUCGACGAAGGGGUUUACGACCUCGAUGUUGGAUCAGGACAUCCUAAUGGUGCAGCCGCUAUUAAGGGUUCGUUUGUUCAA